rnacentral:rRNA from 1 species
CCUACGGGAGGCAGCAGUGGGGAAUAUUGCACAAUGGGGGAAACCCUGAUGCAGCGACGCCGCGUGAGUGAAGAAGUAAUUCGUUACGUAAAGCUCUAUCAGCAGGGAAGAAACACUGACCUUACGGUCAGCAGACGGUACCUGAGUAAGAAGCCCCGGCUAACUACGUGCCAGCUGCCGCGGUAACGCGCAGGGGGCAAGCGUUAUGCGGAUAUACUGGGCGUAAAGGGAGCGUAGACGGUUCGCGAAGUCUGGAGGGAAAUGCCGCAGCUUAACUGCGGAACUGCUUAGGAAACUGGCGAGCUAGAGUGCGAGAGAGGUAAGCGGAAUU